AUGAGGCCUGACUUGGUUAAUACGUCAAGCAAGUGCUGAAGCCCCCCAGGGACACUUAACCCGAUGAAACGAGGCUUUGCACCAAAUACGGAACGGAUCCCUCUCGCCCGAAGCCGUAAACAAAUAACAUCCAUUCAUGUUGUUCUGUUGAGGCCUGAUUGUGUCCUGAUACUGUGCUGAUGAACCACCUGAGACGAGGAACUACAACAUCAGCUUCUAGAUCUGCGAUGCUGAACAUGAGGUGAACACCCCGACACACA
ensembl:lncRNA